rnacentral:rRNA from 1 species
UACGUAGGGUGCAAGCGUUAAUCGGAAUUACUGGGCGUAAAGCGUGCGCAGGCGGUUGUGCAAGACAGAUGUGAAAUCCCCGGGCUCAACCUGGGAACUGCAUUUGUGACUGCACGGCUGGAGUGCGGCAGAGGGGGAUGGAAUUCCGCGUGUAGCAGUGAAAUGCGUAGAUAUGCGGAGGAACACCGAUGGCGAAGGCAAUCCCCUGGGCCUGCACUGACGCUCAUGCACGAAGGCGUGGGGAGCAAACAGG